rnacentral:rRNA from 1 species
GAAAGAUUCAUCGGAAGAGGAUGGGCAUGCGGCGCAUUAGCUAGACGGCGGGGUAACGGCCCACCGUGGCGACGAUGCGUAGGGGUUCUGAGAGGAAGGUCCCCCACACUGGUACUGAGACACGGACCAGACUCCUACGGGAGGCAGCAGUGAGGAAUAUUGGUCAAUGGGAGAGAUCCUGAACCAGCCAAGCCGCGUGAGGGAAGACGGCCCUAUGGGUUGUAAACCUCUUUUGUCGGAGAACAAAACCCGGGACGUGUCCCGGACUGCGUGUAUCCGAAGAAAAAGCAUCGGCUAACUCCGUGCCAGCAGCCGCGGUAAUACGGAGGAUGCGAGCGUUAUCCGGAUUUAUUGGGUUUAAAGGGUGCGUAGGCGGUCCGUUAAGUCAGCGGUAAAAUUGCGGGGCUCAACCCCGUCGAGCCGUUGAAACUGGCAGACUUGAGUUGGCGAGAAGUACGCGGAAUGCGCGGUGUAGCGGUGAAAUGCAUAGAUAUCGCGCAGAACUCCGAUUGCGGAGGCAGCGUACCGGCGCCAGACUGACGCUGAGGCACGAAAGCGUGGGGAUCGAACAGGAUUAGAUACCCUGGUAGUCCACGCAGUAAACGAUGAAUGCUGGUUGUCCGGGUCGAAUGAGAUCUGG